UGGUUUGUUGGGGAAGGUGGUACGAAUUUUUAUUGGGGAAGAUGUGAAAGUCGAGUCAGAGCUGUAAGAUGCUGGCACAGAGACGUGGUGAGGUCCUCUUUUCUCCACAGAAGAAUGGUGCUGGGAGAAAAUGCUACACAGAAGCACUGCGGUAUUGUGCAAGGCUUGUCAGGGUUUGUGAGACCUAAUAGAUGGUGAAUGUCAGCAUCCCUAUUCAGCAGGCAGAACUGUAUAUUGAUUCUCGGUGGCCAAGAGGGUAAAAACUUGAGUGCUGCUUACAGCUGAUGCAGUUUCUUGGAUAAAUGACCUGCUUUGAGGAAGCUUCCCAGCGAUGCUGCGCAAGCCCUUGCAUUGCUCCAUUCCGUGUUCCCCACCACUGCUCCACCGUGGAUAAGCUGCAGGAACAAGUGUGCCAGGAGUGGGAUGCCAGUGCUGGCUGUGACCUCCAUGGUGUCUGGCAGGAAGCCGACAGCUUCCCAUGACUCACCACUGCCUGCUUGGCUCUUUACCUUCUCCUCCCUCAAGAUACC